AGGGAAGUCUGGUGCGAAUCCAGCGCGGUCCCGCCACUGUGACCGGGUUCACGCUCGCCGCAAGCCGAUGGCAAGCCACUGGGUCCUCCACUGCGGACCUGGGAAGGCGCGGCGAGUACGCCCGGGAGCCAGGAGACCU
rnacentral:ncRNA from 21 species